GACGAACGCUGGCGGCGUGCCUAAUACAUGCAAGUGGGACGCAAGGAAACACACUGUGCUUGCACACCGUGUUUUCUUGAGUCGCGAACGGGUGAGUAACGCGUAGGUAACCUGCCUAUUAGCGGGGGAUAACUAUUGGAAACGAUAGCUAAUACCGCAUAAUAUUAAUUAUUGCAUGAUAAUUGAUUGAAAGAUGCAAGCGCAUCACUAGUAGAUGGACCUGCGUUGUAUUAGCUAGUUGGUAAGGUAAGAGCUUACCAAGGCGACGAUACAUAGCCGACCUGAGAGGGUGAUCGGCCACACUGGGACUGAGACACGGCCCAGAAUCCUACGGGAGGCAGCAGUAGGGAAUCUUCGGAAAUGGACGAAAGUCUGACCGAGCAACGCCGCGUGAGUGAAGAAGGUUUUCGGAUCGUAAAGCUCUGUUGUAAGUCAAGAACGUGUGUGAGAGUGGAAAGUUCACACAGUGACGGUAGCUUACCAGAAAGGGACGGCUAACUACGUG
rnacentral:rRNA from 1 species